AACGAACGCUGGCGGCAUGCCUAACACAUGCAAGUCGAACGAGACCUUCGGGUCUAGUGGCGCACGGGUGCGUAACGCGUGGGAACCUGCCCUUAGGUUCGGAAUAACUCCCCGAAAGGGGUGCUAAUACCGGAUAAUGUCUUCGAACCAAAGAUUUAUCGCCUUUGGUUGGGCCCGCGUUGGAUUAGCUAGUUGGUAGGGUAAAAGCCUACCAAGGCGACGAUCCAUAGCUGGUCUGAGAGGAUGAUCAGCCACACUGGGACUGAGACACGGCCCAGACUCCUACGGGAGGCAGCAGUGGGGAAUAUUGGACAAUGGGCGAAAGCCUGAUCCAGCAAUGCCGCGUGAGUGAUGAAGGCCUUAGGGUUGUAAAGCUCUUUUACCCGGGAUGAUAAUGACAGUACCGGGAGAAUAAGCUCCGGCUAACUCCGUG
rnacentral:rRNA from 1 species